rnacentral:lncRNA from 1 species
GGCCCAGACCCUUCCCUGGUCUAUCGACCUGAUGUGGACCCAGAGAUGGCCAAAAGCAAGGGCAGCUUCCGAAACUACACUUCAGGCCCGCUGCUGGAUCGCGUCUUUACCACCUAUAAGCUGAUGCACACUCACCAGACCGUGGACUUCGUCAUGCGGAAGCGCAUCCAGUUUGGAAGCUUCUCUUACAAGAAGAUGACGGUCAUGGAGGCUGUAGAUAUGCUGGAUGAUCUGGUGGACGAAUCUGACCCAGACGUAGACUUCCCCAACUCCUUUCACGCGUUCCAGACCGCGGAGGGCAUCCGAAAAGCCCACCCAGACAAGGGUGUGCCCCUACUGCUGUAGUGGGGGAGGUGCUACCAUUGCCCUAGGAGACCAGAGAGGCCCUGCCCUCUCCCACAGGCCCCACCUUGAGGGAAGCAGACCCCUGGGCUCCUUGCUUUCUGGCCUACCGUUAUGCCUGCGGUUUCUAGGUCAUGUGUCCCUUUUCCACAGACUGGUUCCAUCUGGUUGGACUUUUGCAUGAUCUGGGGAAAAUCCUGGCCCUGUGGGGGGAACCUCAGUGGGCUGUUGUUGGAGACACUUUCCCCGUGGGCUGCCGUCCCCAGGCCUCCGUGGUGUUCUGCGACUCUACUUUCC